rnacentral:lncRNA from 1 species
AGGAAUCCUAACCUUAUUUCGAGUUCUAAGAGUCAUUGGUCGUCUUUGCGAUUUUAUUUGAAGAUUUAUCCAUCUACGCCUCUCGGUGAUUAAGCUUUCAGCCAUGAAAAUCAUUCAAACUUUUUCUUUACAACGUAAAGACGUUUUCAAGAUAUUGUCAAGUCCUCAAACAUCAUCAAAUUAGAGGAUUGUUUUCGUCCACAAAAACAACAUAAAGAGAAUUGUACAUAUUAUUUAAUUUAACAAGAAUUGAAUUCUUCUACUCCAAGUUUUCAAGACAAGAAAAAUAUAGGUGUACAAAUUGAAACAUACUUGAUUUUGAUGUCAACUAUGUGGUGUGGAUUAAGUCAAUUGAGGAUAAGUUUAUGUGCAUAGAGAAUGAUUUGUAAAUAUAUUGUGUGUAUUUGAGGACUUAUAAUGAUAUGAUAAAUAUGUUAAGUGUAUGAAGCCUAUACUAUGCCAUUUUAGGCACAUUUUAUGGAAGC